UCACAGAAGAGAAAGGAACCCUCA
rnacentral:piRNA from 1 species